UUUCCGUAGGUGAACCUGCGGAAGGAUCAUUAAAAAAUUGGACUCCAUUGGUGAGUUCAUUAAUAAUCCCUACCCUUUGUGAAUUUGUUUGUUUGAAUAAUUUUUUUCCAAAAAAAUUAUUGAAUGUCUUUCCCUGUUGGUGGAGCUGUAAAGUGAAACCGGCAGGGGAGUGGCAAACAAUAAUUAUUUUUGAAAAAGACCUUUUUAAAAUUAAACUUUUGUAUUCAUUUGUCUAAAAUUAUUUUUAUAAUAUAAAAACAACUUUUGACAAUGGAUCUCUUGGUUCUCGCAACGAUGAAGAACGCAGCAAAAUGCGAUAAGUAGUGUGAAUUGCAGAAUACGUGAAUCAUCGAAUCUUCGAACGCAUAUUGCACUUUUUAGUUUACUAAAAAAGUAUGUCUGUUUGAGUAUCAGUAAAAUAUUCUCAUAAAAAUUUAUUUUUUAUGGUUAUGAGUGUUUUACAACGAUAACAAGUUGUUUCACUUUAAAUUCUUUGUUAUCAAAAAAUCAUUAAAACUAAUUUUAAAGAUUUUUUAAAAUUGGAUAAAAUUUUCCCGUAAAAAGGAAUAACCUAAACAAUUUUAAAAAUUAAAAUUGGUUUGAUUUUUCUUGAUUUAAAAAGGAAAAAAAGUAAAAAUUAACUUGAUCUCAAAUCAGAUAAGAGUACCCGCUGAACUUAAGCAUAUCAAUAAGCGGAGGAAAAGAACUAACUAGGAUUCCCUCAGUAACGGCGAGUGAAGCGGGAAGAGCUCAAAUUUGAAAUCUUCAAGGUUUUACCUUGACGAAUUGUAGUUUAAAGAAGUGUUUCUGUUGGAGUUUAGGUAAAAGUUCUUUGGAAAAGGACAUCAUAGAGGGUGAGAAUCCCGUAUUUGACCAUUAUCUCCAGCUUUGUGAUACACUUUCAAAGAGUCGGAUUGUUUGGGAAUGCAGUCCAAAUGGGUGGUAAAUUUCAUCUAAAGCUAAAUACUGGCGAGAGACCGAUAGCGAACAAGUACCGUGAGGGAAAGAUGAAAAGAACUUUGAAAAGAGAGUUAAACAGUACGUGAAAUUGUCAAAAGGGAAGUGUUUGACACCAGUGUUGUUUUCUCGAAAAUCAAUUAAAAAAGGCCGAUUUUGUGUUGUAUUGACUUUAUCAGCUUUCUGCACUCUUUUCUUGUCUUUUUUAAUGCACUUUUCGUUUAACAAGUCAACAUCAAUUUCUUUUGUUGUAAAAGGGUCAUUGGAAGGUGGC
rnacentral:misc_RNA from 1 species